CGUUACACGUUCUUUAAUAUGCUAAUUUUAUAAUUUUAGCUCCUCAUUAAAUCUGUACAGUCAGUUUGAUUCAACAACAUCACAAUUGAAGAUGGCGAGAAGGAACUUCCAUAUCUGCUGCAAACAGACCCUAAAUGGCUGCACUCGGCUUCUGCUCGACGAUAAUCCUGGACUUGAUGCCCUUCGGUCCACGUUAACAAGACACUUUAAUCUGUCACAUGACCCGUUAUAUUCUGACAUGUCAGACUUGGCUCUGGAUGAAAAGAUUAAGGACUUGGUGGCUGGGAACGACAAACGUGGACCGGCGUGGAUUGACGGCUGUUCGAUCACCAUUAAGGGCUCACCAUUAAGGGUGCAGAGAUGCAGAGUGAGGGUGACUGCCCUCAGAGCCAUGUCGCAGAGGCUGCAUAGAAGGUCAUACCGUGUUGCUGGACCAAACUCGUAAUGGCACCUUGAUGGAAACCACAAACUGAUAAGGUGGAGGAUAGUCAUACAUGGUGGCAUUGAUGGGUACAGCCGCCUGGUUGUAUUUCUCUGUGCUUCUAGCAACAAUCGCAGCAGUACUGUAAUGAAUUGCUUCAUGAUUGCUGUCUCCAGAAAUGGCGUUCCCUCCAGAGUUAGGACGGACCGUGGAGGAGAAAACAACA